AGAGGAAGGGGGAGGGAGCGAGGGGGAGAGGGAGGGAGGUACAGGAGGAAAAGGAGGGGCUUUCUGUAGAUAGCUGUUCUUUCUGCCAGAGCUCGCCCUCUCAGUGGAGUGACAAUAGAGGAGCGGACCUGGAGUGCCGAAACACAGAGAGGGAAAGAGGAAAAGAGAAAUAGGUGGAAUACAGAGCUCACGUCCACAUUUUCCAAGCAGCAUCAUGGCGUCGGCUACUCCACAGCGUCGGCUACUCCACAGCGUCGGCUACUCCACAGCAGAGGAUGGUAUCCUCCUUCUUUAUUAUUCUGGCAUCCCCUUACAAAGCCACAGUCACACAGCACCAACACACAUGCACACACAGCGCCACCGCCAAUGACAUGCCACGUACAGCCAUACGGGUUGGCCCUGAGGACAGCAGCACUCGUAAACUUAGUGUCAGUGGCACACAGUAAGGCACAAUUCACAGGCAAGGAGAGGGCUCCAUCUGAGUCCCAGGGCAGUACACACGAAGGGGCCCAGAGCUCCACACCUUCCCUGGCCAGACACUCGGAGCCCAGAACUCCAGCCAGCCCAGUGACCCCUGACCUCAGCCGGGGUCUGGGAGACACACAGCAGCAACAGACAGAAGCAGACAAGGGUCCUGAAGAGCUCCUUCCUCCCCCUCCUCCUGUGUCUGUGGAUGCUGAGGUGGACUGAGGAUCUUACACCUCUCUUGCCUCCUCCACACGUGUCUGUGGAUGCUGAGCUGACUGAGGAUCCUACACCUCUCCUGCCUCCUCCACAUGUGUCUGUGGAUGCUGAGCUGACUGAGGAUCUUACACCUCUCUUGCCUCCUCCACACAUGUCUGUGGAUGCUGAGCUGACUGAGGAUCCUACACCUCUCCUGCCUCCUCCACUCGUGCAGGAGCCCCCAACUGCCCCCCUCCUCCAACCUGUGUCCUUAGACAGACCACCAGUGUCUGACCAACUGGUAAGACUGACUCUACAUCCCAGGCUAUUGGUAGCCAUGACAUUACAAUGACCAUAGGAUCUGGCAAGACUUCACAAACAGAUCUGGGACAAGGCUAUGUUAUUGCCAUUCAAAUGUUUUUUAAUAUUUAAUUUGUAUUUUAAUUUCACCUUUGUUUAACCAGGUAGGCCAGUUGAGAACAAGUUCUCAUUUACAACUGUGACCUGGCCAAGAUAAAGCAAAGCAGUGCAACAAAAACAACAACACA